AUUGAACGCUGGCGGCAUGAUUUACACAUGCAAGCCGAACGGUAACAGGCCGCAAGGUGCUGACGAGUGGCGAACGGGUGAGUAAUGCAUCGGAACGUGCCCAGUCGUGGGGGAUAACUACUCGAAAGAGUAGCUAAUACCGCAUACGAUCUAUGGAUGAAAGCGGGGGACCGUAAGGCCUCGCGCGAUUGGAGCGGCCGAUGUCAGAUUAGGUAGUUGGUGGGGUAAAGGCUCACCAAGCCAACGAUCUGUAGCUGGUCUGAGAGGACGACCAGCCACACUGGGACUGAGACACGGCCCAGACUCCUACGGGAGGCAGCAGUGGGGAAUUUUGGACAAUGGGCGCAAGCCUGAUCCAGCAAUGCCGCGUGCAGGAAGAAGGCCUUCGGGUUGUAAACUGCUUUUGUACGGAACGAAACGGCUCUGGUUAAUACCCGGGGCUAAUGACGGUACCGUAAGAAUAAGCACCGGCUAACUACGUG
rnacentral:rRNA from 1 species